UACGUAGGGUCCGAGCGUUGUCCGGAAUUACUGGGCGUAAAGCGUGCGUAGACGGUUAUGUAAGUCAGGUGUGAAAGCCCCGGGCUCAACCUGGGAAUGGCAUUUGAGACUGCAUAGCUAGGGUGCGGAAGAGGGAAGCGGAAUUUCCGGUGUAGCGGUGAAAUGCGUAGAUAUCGGAAGGAACAUCAGUGGCGAAAGCGGCUUCCUGGUCCAGCACCGACGUUCAGGCACGAAAGCGUGGGGAGCAAACAGG
rnacentral:rRNA from 1 species